rnacentral:rRNA from 1 species
AGUGAACGCUGGCGGUAGGCCUAACACAUGCAAGUCGAACGGCAGCACAGUAAGAGCUUGCUCUUACGGGUGGCGAGUGGCGGACGGGUGAGGAAUACAUCGGAAUCUACUUUUUCGUGGGGGAUAACGUAGGGAAACUUACGCUAAUACCGCAUACGACCUACGGGUGAAAGCAGGGGAUCUUCGGACCUUGCGCGAUUGAAUGAGCCGAUGUCGGAUGAGCUAGUUGGCGGGGUAAAGGCCCACCCAGUCGACGAUCCGUAGCUGGUCUGAGAGGAUGAUCGGCCACACUGGAACUGAGACACGGUCCAGACUCCUACGGGAGGCAGCAGUGGGGAAUAUUGGACAAUGGGCGCAAGCCUGAUCCAGCCAUACCGCGUGGGUGAAGAAGGCCUUCGGGUUGUAAAGCCCUUUUGUUGGGAAAGAAAAGCAGCAGGUUAAUACCCCGCUGUUCUGACGGUACCCAAAGAAUAAGCACCGGCUAACUUCGUG